GAUGAACGCUGGCGGCGUGCUUAACACAUGCAAGUCGAACGGUGAAGCAGGAGCUUGCUCUUGUGGAUCAGUGGCGAACGGGUGAGUAGCACGUGAGCAACCUGCCCCUGACUCUGGGAUAAGCGCUGGAAACGGCGUCUAAUACUGGAUAUGUGAUGUGACCGCAUGGUCUGCAUCUGGAAAGAAUUUCGGUUGGGGAUGGGCUCGCGGCCUAUCAGCUUGUUGGUGAGGUAAUGGCUCACCAAGGCGUCGACGGGUAGCCGGCCUGAGAGGGUGACCGGCCACACUGGGACUGAGACAAGGCCCAGACUCCUACGGGAGGCAGCAGUGGGGAAUAUUGCACAAUGGGCGGAAGCCUGAUGCAGCAACGCCGCGUGAGGGAUGACGGCCUUCGGGUUGUAAACUUCUUUUAGCAGGGAAGAAGCGAAAGUGACGGUACCUGCAGAAAAAGCACCGGCUAACUACGUGCCAGCCGCCGCAGUAA
rnacentral:rRNA from 1 species